CUCUCCCCCCCCCCGCCAGAGCUCACCGGAGGUCUCACCGGCCUUUUCCUUCCCAAAGCCGCCACCGUAUCCACCCCUGGCGAAUCUGCCGCCCCAUCGCUGUCACCUCCACUUCCAUCCUCCCCACCUCCACCGGUUCCACCGCCGCCGUCAUCAAAACCCAAACACUUGAGGAAGGCUUUCACUGCGCCUCCGCCGCCGCCGCAGCAGAGUGGACUGAGGCAGCGCCACCACCAACUCUGUUGAUCUCCUUCUGGGGAAGCUUCCAUUGAAGAGAAAAGAUCAAAGAAGUGUUCUUUUUCUUGUUUUCUUCUUCUUCUUCUUAAUUUCUUCUGCUGAUGUUUGCAGAAAUUUAAUGCUGUUUCAGCUACCGGUCAUGCAUUGUAUUUAUAUUAUUCUGAAGGUUUUUUUUUCACCGAUCAGUCAACGGUACAGAUCAGUCAACUGCUCCCAUCGUAUUUAAUGCAAUUUUUUUCCCACUCAGAUCUCUG
rnacentral:lncRNA from 1 species